GACUUCUGGUUUAAUGCACCUGGCCCGCGGCCGCAAGGCCUGUGAGUGCCGGCGCGCGUUUACCAUCCUUCCAGGUAACGAGUCUUCCCUUUACUGGGCCGGAUUCGGGGUCUGGAUCAUUUACUUUGAAAAAAUUAGAGUGUUUAAAGCAGGCUAUUGCUAUGAAUACAUUAGCAUGGAAUAAUAAUCUAGGACUUCGGUUCUAUUUUGUUGGUUUCUAUAACUGAAGUAAUGAUUGAUAGGGAUAGUUGGGGGUGCUAGUAUUGGCCGGUCAGAGGUGAAAUUCUUGGAUUCGGUCAAGACUAACUUAUGCGAAAGCAUU
rnacentral:rRNA from 1 species